rnacentral:rRNA from 1 species
UACGGUGGGUGCAAGCGUUAAUCGGAAUUACUGGGCGUAAAGCGCACGCAGGCGGUUAUUUAAGUUAGUUGUGAAAUCCCCGGGCUUAACCUGGGAAUUGCAUUUCAGACUGGUUGGCUAGAGUUUUGUAGAGGGGGGUAGAAUUCCAUGUGUAGCGGUGAAAUGCGUAGAGAUGUGGAGGAAUACCGGCAGCGAAGGCGGCCCCCUGGACAAAGACUGACGCUCAGGUGCGAAAGCGUGGGGAGCAAACAGG